rnacentral:lncRNA from 1 species
AAUAUAUCGAAUAGAAGGCAACCAAGAUCCAAUCGGAUCAAUCAAUCUCAGCCUCGGCAAUAGAUCAAGAUAAUAAACAAUACCUGAUGAAGAUACCUUCCUCAACCCUCGGCAAAAAAUCAAGAUGAUACCUCCUUACCAGCCGUAGCAGCACAAAGUAUCUGUGAAAUCGAGAAGAAGGAAACAGGUAGAUCACCAACCGA